rnacentral:rRNA from 1 species
UGGCGACCGGCGCACGGGUGCGUAACGCGUAUGCAACCUACCCAUAACAGGGGAGUAACACUGAGAAAUUGGUACUAAUACCCCAUAACAUCAGGACCGGCAUCGGUUCUGGUUGAAAACUCCGGUGGUUAUGGAUGGGCAUGCGUUGUAUUAGCUGGUUGGUGAGGUAACGGCUCACCAAGGCAACGAUACAUAGGGGGACUGAGAGGUUAACCCCCCACAUUGGUACUGAGACACGGACCAA